GCGGCGGACGGGUGAGUAAUGCCUAGGAAUCUGCCUAGUAGUGGGGGAUAACGUCCGGAAACGGGCGCUAAUACCGCAUACGUCCUACGGGAGAAAGUGGGGGAUCUUCGGACCUCACGCUAUUAGAUGAGCCUAGGUCGGAUUAGCUAGUUGGUGAGGUAAUGGCUCACCAAGGCGACGAUCCGUAACUGGUCUGAGAGGAUGAUCAGUCACACUGGAACUGAGACACGGUCCAGACUCCUACGGGAGGCAGCAGUGGGGAAUAUUGGACAAUGGGCGAAAGCCUGAUCCAGCCAUGCCGCGUGUGUGAAGAAGGUCUUCGGAUUGUAAAGCACUUUAAGUUGGGAGGAAGGGCAGUUACCUAAUACGUGAUUGUUUUGACGUUACCGACAGAAUAAGCACCGGCUAACUCUGUGCCAGCAGCCGCGGUAAUACAGAGGGUGCAAGCGUUAAUCGGAAUUACUGGGCGUAAAGCGCGCGUAGGUGGUUUGUUAAGUUGGAUGUGAAAGCCCCGGGCUCAACCUGGGAACUGCAUCCAAAACUGGCAAGCUAGAGUAUGGUAGAGGGGUGGUGGAAUUUCCUGUGUAGCGGUGAAAUGCGUAGAUAUAGGAAGGAACACCAGUGGCGAAA
rnacentral:rRNA from 1 species